rnacentral:rRNA from 1 species
UACGGAGGAGGCAAGCGUUAUCCGGAAUUAUUGGGCGUAAAGCGUCCGCAGGUGGCUAUUCAAGUCUGCGGUCAAAGACUGGGGCUUAACCCUGGAAAGGCCGUGGAAACUGAAGAGCUAGAGUGCAGUAGGGGUAGAGGGAAUUCCCGGUGUAGCGGUGAAAUGCGUAGAGAUCGGAAAGAACACCAACGGCGAAAGCACUCUGCUGGGCCGACACUGACACUGAGAGACGAAAGCUAGGGGAGCGAAUGGG